AAUCGCAGAAUGAGCCGAGCAGCCCUUGGGAAAGAUCAAGACAUCCACAAGCGGAAGAAAGAGAUAGAUCAACGACUGGAUGCUCUUUCUUGCCAGUGUGCUAUAGACGAAAGUCAAAGCAAAGAGAAGAAACAACAGUUAGAGCAGGAAACUCGCAGGCUUGCAGAAGAGAGCAAGAGGCUCACUGUUCAACUGAAGGAGGUAUGAGUUUCAUC